GGGGGCGUAGCUCAGAUGGUAGAGCGCUCGAUUAGCAUGCGAGAGGUACGGGGAUUGAUACCCCGCGCCUCCA
rnacentral:tRNA from 1 species